rnacentral:lncRNA from 1 species
UUCUCUGUCUUACCCUUUUCUUUUGGGGCCUAGUGGUGCAUUGAGCUGAGGUCAGUAAUUGCCCACUGGGAACUAUAAAUUAUAGUUCUCACGCGCCUGUGUUUUAUGUUUCUUUCAGAGCCUUCCACGCCGGGAGAGGCUAGGACCGUGGGAAGGGAGUUGUCUGUUCGAGCUAGCUUCCUUCGAGGGCGAUCGAUAGGUGGUCUACCUCUCGUUAUUUUAUUUUGUGAGAGGUUUGAGAGUUUUACCAGUGUAUUAGAGACCACCAUUUUUGUACUUUUGAGACUGUAGUGUACUACUUAUGGUUCUUUUUAUCGUCUAGCUUUAUCUCUUUACUCUUGGUGUAGAUGAUAGAACUUUACUCGCUCUGAUAUCAUUAGUUGCUUGUUAUUUUACUUCUUUAUUUUUCUAUCUCUUGCUUUACUUCCGCUUUUAUUGUAGACGCCUUAUAUGUGUAGACAUAUGGUGGUGUCUGGGCCACUCUACGGGAGGGCCUCGCGGUCCCGGGGCGUGACAGAUUAAUUUGGUAUCAGAGCCUAGGGUUGAGUCUUAGUGGACCUACAACCUUAGGCCGGUUGGACUUAGAUUAGGCUCGUGUGAAGACGAGGUCUAAUUGAUUUGUGAGCGAAAGUAUUAUGAUUGGGUUAUGACAACUCUAAAAAGUUAGAGUUUGAUCGGAGUGUAUGGCUUCAACUCUGCAGAGGGUUACGUUGGCGCGCGACAACGUAACAUCGGAGUUAGUAGCGAAGGACACUUCCUUACUUUCGCAUGAUUUGGGGUCUAUAUCUUUGAGCGGGACGCGAUUAGCGUGGGUUACUAACUUGCGCUUUUUGUUUGUAGUGACGAUGCCGAUUACACGCUCCCAGUCAAGCCGGGGCGGAUGAUGCGGCACACCCCGAGGAGGUUGAGACCUCCGCUACUUCCGGAUCUAGUGAGUCCGGACUUUGAGACCCAGCUUGCGGUUCUCACUGAUUUGUUGGCGCAGCAGACGGCAGCGGCGCAGCGACAGGCUGAGGUGGUCAGUAGCGGGAGUCGCGGAUGAAGCAUCUCGAGGACCUCCUACUUCAGCAGGCGGCAGCUUCGAGGGAGACCCAGGGUCCCACACCGCCAGCUGCCCAUAGUGGACGUCGCACGGGAGGGCAGUCCCCCGCGCCCAGUUCCUCACGUUACGCACCGGCGACCGCACCCCGAGGAGGGUAGUUGCGGCAUUAACCAGUUCAGAGACCGGCCCGGGAGCAGCAUUCCCCGUGAUGCGGGGAGCCGAGCGGGAUAGACUCAUGAAGCGCCUCAGUGAGUUCAGGAGGUGCAGCCGAGGACUUUCGGAUGGUGAGAACGUCGACCACUGGAAUUGUGGAGAAAGUGGUUGAUGCACAUGGAGAAGCUCUUUCGAGACACUUUUGGGAGGAGCGGGACAGAGUUUGGCUCGCCACUCACUUUCUGUGACGGCGAGGCCUAUCGUUGGUGGUUGGAUAUUCAGGACAACCCCAACACCGAUUGGCAGCGAUUACUUGGACGAGGUUCAAGGAGCUUCUACUGGCGCACCACUUUCCUACCAGCGUCAAGAGGAAGAUGGAGCAGGAUUUGCGCAGCCUUGCGCCAGGAUGAGCGGUCAGUGGCGAGUACGAAAGGGAAUUUCUCUGCAUACUACACUGUAUACCGUUUGUUGUGAGGGACGACGAGGACAGGCCCGCAUCUCUAUUGAGCGCGGUUUGCGGCCUUCCAUCUUCGGUGGUGUGCAGUCUUCCAACCUCAGACUUAUCGGGAGGUUGUGGAUCGAGCUUUGAUAGUGGAGGCAGGAGCGGCGGAUCUGCAGGAGCGUCGCGAGAGCUUGGAGGAAGGGAAGGGGAAGAGACCGCGGCUGAGGGUGCGAGUCAGACGCACUCCGCGAGGCCGCCGAGUCAUCCCAGGAGCAGGAGUCAGUCGCGAGGACGCGGCCAGUCUAGUCAGCGAGGGACCCGAUCGUCGUCAGGUCCCCCGCCUGCGUGAUCUGUGGUGGCCCUCAUUACCCACGACAGUGUACACGCAGCGGGGCAGGUGCUUCUUUGUGGCCAGGGAGGGGCCACUUCCAGUCGCGACUGCCCGAGGAGUCCAUUGCCAGCGCCUCUGCGCAUCCGCACCCGCAUCGCCAGGUCUCAGCCAGGGGACAUCUUCUGCGCAUCACCAGGUAGGACGACCGCCAGUUCUGCGACAGGCGGAGGGCUCCCGACAGGCCCGAGUGGGCGCAUGUACGCGGCCAGACUGAGAGGCAGCGCAGCUGAGAAUGUGGUCGCAGUAUCAUUUUACUUCAUGGUAUUCGAGUUAGAGCAUUUUUUGAUACCGUGCAUCGCAUUCAUUUCAUUGAUCGGUGUUUGCCGAGCGCAUGCAUCCCACUUGUAUCCUUGUUGCAUCGGGCCGAGUUGUUGCUACCGACAUCUUUUGGACAUUCGGAGUUUUGCCCCAGUAGCCUAUUCGGGUUGGAGAUUGGAUCAUGCCGUCGAUUUGCUAGACUUUGCAUAAAUCCGGGGAGUUUGAUUCGUGUGUGGCAUGGAUUGGUUGACUAAGUAACUUCGCCACUAUCGAUUGUAAGGAUCGAACGGUGACUUGAGGAGCCAGGGCAGGCGGAGGUUGUGUGAUCGAGGAUGCCAGAGUUCGCUGUUUGCGAUGACGAUUAGCUCCUCUCGAGCUAGACAGUUGAUUAGUAGAGCUGCCGUAGCCUACUUGGCUACUGUGUGUUGCGGGCGAGGGUGACGCCCCUAGGAUUGAGGAUAUCCCGUAGUGCGGGAUUUGGAGAUGUGUUUCCAGCAGAGCUUCCAGGUUAUGCCUCCUGAUAGGGAGAUUGAGUUUGUGUAGAUCUCGUUCCGGCCGACUACUCCAAUUCUCAAAGAGCGCCCUAUAGGAUGGCACCAGCAGAGUUGAAGGAGCUGAAGGCACAGUUGCGGAUCUUCUGGAUAAGGGUUUUGUGCGACCGAUAGUGUGUCACCUUGGGGAGCACCGUCCUAUUUGUGAAGAGAAGGAUGGAUAACUUCGUUGUGCGUGGACUAUCGUGACUUAAUAAAGUUCACGAUCAAGAACAAGUAUCCAUUACCGAGGAUUGAUGAUCUACUUGAUCAGCUUCAGGGAUCUUGUGUAUAUUCCAAGAUUGACUUGCAGUCGGGAUAUCACCAGUUGAGGAUCAGACCUGAGGAUUGGCGAAGACGGCUUUUAGAACACGGUAUGGACAUUAUGAGUUUACCGUUAUGCCGUUUGGGCUUACUAAUGCCCCGGCAGCCCUUUAUGGAUUUAAUGAACGAGCCUGUGUUUAAGCCUUAUUUAGACAGGUUUGUCGUGGUGUUUAUCGACGACAUCUUAGUGUAUUCCCGAGUGACGCGGAUCACGAGGAGCACUUGAGACUUGUACUUCAAGUGCUUCGAGAAAAGAGCUCUAUGCAAGUUGAAAAAGUGUGAAUUUUGCUUAGAGGAGUGGCGUUUUGGGCCAUGUGAUUUCUGGAUCAGGCAUAGCCGUGGACCCGAGAAAAAUUGAAGCUAUCAAGGAUUGGCCGAGGCCGACGAGCGUGACGAGAUACGGAGCUUCAUUGGAUUGGCCGGCUACUACCGACGGUUUGUCGAGGGAUUGCGAAGUUAUCUACCCCUCAGAGACUCACGCAUAAGGGCACCAAGUUUAUUUGGGAUGAUGCGGUGUGAAAGGAGCUUCCAAGAGUUGAAGCAGCGAUUGACGACGGCCCCGAUCCUUACCUUGCCGACUGCUGGAGCAGUGUAUGUGAUUUAAUGUGAUGCUUCCUAAAUGGUCGGGCUGUGUCUUAAUGCAGGACGGGAAAGUGAUCGCGUAUGCCUUCUCGCCAAUUGCAAGGAUUAUGAGAGGAACUAUCCUACCACGACUUGGAGUUGGCGGCCUGUAUCUUGCCUUGAAGCUAUGGCGCCACUACUUUAUGGCGAGCGGUUGUGAAGUAUAUACGGAUCACAAAAGCUUAAAAGUAUUUUUCACUCAGAAGGAGUUAAACUUGAGCGCAGCAGAUGGUUGGAGCUACUCAAGGAUAUAGUGACGAUACUUUACCACCGGGCAAGGCUACGUGGUGGCGGAUGCGCUAUACGUAAAUCGACGGAAGACUUAGCAAUGCUUGUGGUUACUCAACCGCCGUAUCGAGCAGAUGAAGCGGUUGGAGUUGGAGGUGGUGGUCCUGAUACACCGUUGAGGACUGAUGACUUUUGGUGGUGCAACCUACACUUUUGAAAGGAUUAAGAAAAGCAAGCUUCCGACUCGGAGUUGCAAAAGAUCCAAGCUAAAUUGUGAUGGGUUGCACCGGCGACUUCACUUUAGACGGUGAUAGAUUGAUGCGUUUCCGCGGACGACUUUGUGUACCGGCGGUUUGGGCAUAAGGAAGACAUUCUUCAGGAAGCCCACACCGAAGCACGUACACACGGGGGGCACAAAGAUGUACAAGGAUUUGAGUUACUUUACUGUGGCCCGGGAUGAAAAGAUGUUGGUGAGUUUGUUGCAUGGCUUAACUUGCCAACACGUGAAGGCCUGAGGUCACUCGAGUUCCUGCGUGGGAAAGUUUGGCAGAGCCUACGUUCUAGUCGUGGAAUGUCGCGGAAAGAAGAUCACCGAUGAUUUCUGAUGGGAUUGCCUCGCUCCAGGCCGCAUGCACGGCCUAUUUGGGUGUGAUUGUGGUAUAGCAUUGACAAGAAUCGUCGUCACAUUUUCCAUACCUAUCCACACAGCUUUGAAUGCGUGAGAGACGUCGCACAGGUAUACCUGCAUGAGAUUCGUGCAUUUGCACGGUCCCGGUACCUACUUCUAUCAUCUCAGAUCGAUGAUCCCGUUGUUUCCCACUUUUGGAAAGCAGCUUACAGGAUGCUUUGGGGUACGCGCUUGGAUUUCAGCACUGCUUUCCACACCAGAUGGACGCGGCAGUCGAGCGUACUAUACAGACUCUCGAGGAACAUGCUUCGGCCUGCUGUGAUUUCUCCAGCGAGGGCUAUGGUCGCACGAGUCUACCGAUGGCAGAGUUUGCUUAUAACAACAGUUAUCAAGCAGCAUCAACGAUGGCACCGUUCGAGGCACUCUAUGGACGGAAGUGUGAUCGCCACUAUCAUUGGAGUGGAAGUCGGCGCCGAGAGAUUGCGUUUAUGACCCUCGAUGUGGCCCUCCUGAUGAGCUGAGAACAAGGUUUCGCAGUUGCUCGAGGCGAUUGUUGACAGCCCAGUAGUUAGGCAGAGAAGUUUAAUGUGACAGGCAGUCGACGGAUUUGGAGUUUCAGAUGGAACCAUGUGUUCUUGAAGGUCUCGCGACCAGGAAUCUAGAAGUAUUUGGAAUCCGGGGUAAGUUGAGCCCCCGACUUAUAUUGGACCAUAUAGAUGAUUUGGAGCGACUGUAGGCCCCUCAAUGUGGCGUUUAUCGACUUAGCUCUACGCCAACCAUCGCGGGUUGUACCAAUGUAUUCCAUGUAUCGGUCCUUCGGAAGUACAUCCACGACCGGCUCAUGUGUUGGAUGCUUACACUAUGGAGUAUGAGGCUCUAAGCUUGUAGGAGCACACCCUUGAGAUUUUGCGCUCGCGAGCGUUGAACAAGAUGCGGGAACGAGAAAUUUCUUACGUGAAGGUGCUUUGGAGCAACCACGACGAGCGCGAGGCCACUUGGGAGUUAGAGAGCGCGCUGCGGGAGCGCUAUCCCCAUCUUUUUCAGAUGGAUACUUGAGGUACUUUGCUUAUUUUGAGUUUCGCGGACGAAACUCCUUUUUAGGAGGGGUGAAUGUAACACACUGGACCUUUGCAAAUUGCGAGGUUCGAGUGUUCGAGCUGUGUGCUGAGCAAUUCCAGAUUUUCUGGUGGGUCGUCGACAGUGUUCCGACCUAUGGCUCGCAUCCCGAGAAGUGAGGUUUAAGCCGAGCACGAAAACCCGAAAAAUCGGAUUUUUGGUUAGCUCUCGGGUUGCCUUCAGAGAGCUGUGUACCGGUACGGGAGUGAUGGCUGUACCGGUACAGCCAUCGACUUUGGCCGCUUCUCAGCCAACCCGAGGCUCGGGCUGGGCGUUUUCGUAGAAGGUGUACCGGUACGCGGGCCCGUGUACCGGUACGCAGUGCAGAUUCUGAGCAGUUUGAACUGCAGGGGGUUUUUCGCAAUUGUGGCCUUCUAUAUAGCCACCCACGCCCCUAGGGCUCUCCCUGAGCUUAGCACCAGCAAGGAGAAAGGUGAGGGAGCUCUCCAUACCUCCUCAUUCCUUUUCCUUGAUUUUGCUUGGGUUUUUAGAGAUUAAUCACCUCUUUUUGCUCCUUUUUGGGUUUUGGAGGCUAUUCCACCAUUGGAGCUUGGGUUUGGAUCUUGUUGGAGGAGAGAUUCUUGGACCUUGAGGGUUUAGAAACUUGUUGGAGGCUUCUAAGAGGUUGGUGGCUUAUUCUCUUCCUCUAGAUUUUGGUUUUGAUGCUUUGUAGUAGAUCAAACCCUAGAAAUGGAAAUUUAGGGUUUAUUUGGGCAUUUUGCAUCUAGGGCUUUUGGAGCUAGAUUGUUUGGAUUAGAACCUUCCUUAGGCUUGGAUUGGAAGGGAUUUAGCUCUAUUUUGGAGCUUGAGAGAGAUUUUCCACACAUUGGGUGAGUUUUGGCCUUUUGUUAAAUUUGUUAAAGUUUAAUAUUACGCGAUGAUCGUAAUGCCCGUGUAUCUUUUCGCUCAAUCCUUUUAGGGUAAUUUGAGACUCGGGGACAACUUUGUUCGGCGAAUCGAGACCCUACGCGACGGUUCGGUGGGUUUGACCUAGCCUACAUAUGAGAAAUUCUCAUAUAUGGUUUUAUAUGUUCCGUAAAAUGGAAAAGCAUGCAUAUUCAUACUAAAUGUAUUUAUUAUGAUUUUUAGAAUGCUUAAAAUGCAUAUGUUAUGUAUGAUGAAAUUUUGGACCUCUAUGUAAUAGAGAGCUGCUUGAGGGAUCUAUAGUUGCAUUUCGCAUUCUUCAUGAGACUUGGUUUUAUGCUUCUAUAGUGUAAAUGAGUUCGGAUUCAUGCAUUUAAACCUAAGUUUACUUGUGACAUGAAAAUUGACAAGAUUCCCAUUUAGAAGCUAUGUGAAUUAGAGAGCUAUUGUCAUCAAGCGGCAUUGAGCUCAGGACUUGUGUGAACCUAGUGGAAAGGGCCAUUGAGGGAUUUGGAAAACAUGUUGAACAUCAAAUUGCCUAAGUGUCAUCAAGGGGCACUAGGCGUAGCAAAUGUUGAAACUUCACAUCGUGACUUAGACUAGAUCUUCGGGAUGCUAGUUAUGAUACCAUGUUAGAGACAUGAGGAUUGGAUACUUGAGACUUGGACUACGCUUGCUUGCCAUUUGUGCUCAUUCGCACAUGCUUGUGAGGGUCGCUCCCUACAAGCCGGCACUCCGGAGUUAGCCUAUGCGACUUAUGAUCGCUCGUGCGGUAUUGAGAAGCCUACGGGGUCGAGUGGGACAGACACAUUCCAAGAGUAGGGAUGUCGGGCUACCACAGGCACUUAGGCGGCACAAGCCGGACCACCUUUGGUAGGUCCUUAAUUGGAAAUGGAAAUCGACACAGUGUUGAGUUUAUUAUAAUCACUACUUAAUAGAGAAUAGUAGUUGGAUUACUUAGACUUACUUCUAGCAUAGUUUGGGGUACUUGGAUAUACAUACAUAUAUGUAGCAUGCUAGGAGAUGUUGCUUAUUGCAUUCAUAUAUAUACAUUGUUGCCAUGAUAAAGCAUGAUCUUCAUAAUUUCAUAAAGCAAAUAAUGAUUAUUACUUGUGGUUAUGUUGGGACGUACUUGUUCAUCAUAAAAUAGGUGUACAUCAUAUUUGACACAAUGUAACAUCUCAGCAUUUCUAAUUAUGUUUUCAUAAAUGCAAUUUAUUCAUUACUAUUGCUCUUCUCUGUCUUACCCUUUUCUUUUGGGGCCUAGUGGUGCAUUGAGCUGAGGUCAGUAAUUGCCCACUGGGAACUAUAAAUUAUAGUUCUCACGCCCUGUGUUUUAUGUUUUCUUUCAGAGCCUUCCACGCCGGGAGAGGCUAGGGACCGUGGGAAGGGAGUUGCUUCGAGCUAGCUUCCUUCGAGGGCGAUUCGAUAGGUGGUCUACCUCUCGUUAUUUUAUUUUGUGAGAGGUUGAGAGUUUUACCAGUGUAUUAGAGACCACCAUUUUUGUACUUUUGAGACUGAUAGUGUACUACUUAUGGUUUCUUUUAUCGUCUAGCUUUAUCUCUUUACUUUGGUGUAGAUGAUAGAACUUUACUCGCUCUGAUAUCAUUAGUUGCUAGUUAUUUUACUUCUUUAUUUGUUCUAUCUCUUGCUUUACUUCCGCUUUUAUUGUAGACGCCUUAUAUGUGUAGACAUAUGGCGGGUCUGGGCACGCUACCGGGAGGGCCUCCGCCGGUCCCGGGGCGUGACAGAACCGAAGCUGAUGAUGGAGUAGGUGAUGCGCCGCUCGGGCACUCUCGGCUCAUGUGCCCCGGUUGGCCACAUCGAAAACAUCGCCCCUCCCGCUGUGGGCAAGUAGCGACUCUAUGAUCUCCGCCGCAUAUCACGCACGGGUAGGUAGUCUGGCUCCUACCUCCCCGCCACUGUGAUCGCUAGGGUCGAGAGGGUCGCUUUGAACUCGACUGCCCCGCGGAUCCACUAGAUGCCUGCUUUUUAGACUUAUCCCUUUCUUUGUCCUUCUCGAAAGCCUCGCGCUCCUCUCGCGUAAUAGCAUUACCGUGUUCCACCCAAAGCGUGCGGUCAAGUACCUCCUCGUAGGUCUUCAAGCGGAAUGCAUGAAUAACCUUGAAUAUCUCGGGUCGCAACCCACGCUCGAAAAUCUCCGCUCGAUCCUUAUCACCAUGAACCAAGCCCGGCACGCAAUUGAUCUUGUGUGUGAACUCCCUUUCGUACUCCCGCACCGUUCGGCUACCUUGCCUCAACUUGCGGAAAUCUUCCUUGAUAUUUCUUUUGUCGC